rnacentral:rRNA from 1 species
GAGUUUGAUCAUGGCUCAGAUUGAACGCUGGCGGCAUGCUUUACACAUGCAAGUCGAACGGACUUUGGGGCUUGCUCCAGAGUUAGUGGCGAACGGGUGAGUAAUGCAUCGGAACGUACCGUGUAGUGGGGGAUAACGCAGCGAAAGUUGUGCUAAUACCGCAUACGAUCUACGGAUGAAAGUGGGGGACCGUAAGGCCUCACGCUAUACGAGCGGCCGAUGUCCGAUUAGCUAGUUGGUGGGGUAAAAGCUCACCAAGGCGACGAUCGGUAGCUGGUCUGAGAGGAUGAUCAGCCACACUGGGACUGAGACACGGCCCAGACUCCUACGGGAGGCAGCAGUGGGGAAUUUUGGACAAUGGGCGCAAGCCUGAUCCAGCCAUGCCGCGUGAGUGAAGAAGGCCUUCGGUUGU